ACGGUGCGACGCCGCGUGAAGGAUGAAGGUCUUCGGAUCGUAAACUUCUGUCAUUUGAGAACAAGUGUCGAAGCAAUAACUGGCUCCGAUUUGAUAGUACCAAAAGAGGAAGAGACGGCUAACUCUGUGCCAGCAGCCGCGGUAAUACAGGGGUCUCAAGCGUUGUUCGGAAUCACUGGGCGUAAAGGGAGCGUAGGCGGGCUCUUAAGUUAGGUGUUUAAUCCCGGGGCCCAACCCCGGACAGGCACCUAAAACUGGGAGUCUUGAAUAGUGGAGAGGUCGGCGGAAUUGGGGGUGUAGCGGUGGAAUGCGUAGAGAUCCCCAAGAACACCAGUUGCGAAGGCGGCCGACUGGACACAUAUUGACGCUGAGGCUCGAAAGCAUGGGGAGCAAACAGGAUUAGAUACCCUGGUAGUCCAUGCCAUAAACGAUGAUUACUAGGUUUUGGGCCCGUCAACGGUCCAGAGCCGCAGCUAACGCGUUAAGUAAUCCGCCUGGGGAGUACGGUCGCAAGACUG
rnacentral:rRNA from 1 species